UACAGAGGGGUGCAAGCGUUGUUCGGAAUUAUUGGCGUAAAGCGCGUGUAGGCGGCUUUGCAAGUCGGGUGUGAAAGCCCUCAGCUCAACUGAGGAAGUGCGCCCGAAACUGCAGAGCUUGAGUACCGGAGAGGAUGGCGGAAUUCCCCAAGUAGAGGUGAAAUUCGUAGAUAUGGGGAGGAACACCGGUGGCGAAGGCGGCCAUCUGGACGGAUACUGACGCUGAGACGCGAAAGCGUGGGUAGCAAACAGG
rnacentral:rRNA from 1 species